GCAUAACGGCUUGCAUUUUCU
ensembl:piRNA 21ur-4551 ncRNA